GACGAACGCUGGCGGCGUGCCUAAUACAUGCAAGUCGAGCGCAGGAAACUGACGGAACUCUUCGGAGGGAAGGCAGUGGAAUGAGCGGCGGACGGGUGAGUAACACGUAAGGAACCUGCCUCAAGGAUUGGGAUAACUCCGAGAAAUCGGAGCUAAUACCGGAUAGUUCAACGGACCGCAUGGUCCGUUGAUGAAAGGCGCUCCGGCGUCACCUUGAGAUGGCCUUGCGGUGCAUUAGCUAGUUGGGGGGGUAACGGCCCACCAAGGCGACGAUGCAUAGCCGACCUGAGAGGGUGAUCGGCCACACUGGGACUGAGACACGGCCCAGACUCCUACGGGAGGCAGCAGUAGGGAAUCUUCCACAAUGGACGAAAGUCUGAUGGAGCAACGCCGCGUGAGUGAUGAAGGUUUUCGGAUCGUAAAACUCUGUUGUAAGGGAAGAACACGUACGAGAGGGAAUGCUCGUACCUUGACGGUACCUUACGAGAAAGCCACGGCUAACUACGUGCCAGCCGCCGCCGUAA
rnacentral:rRNA from 1 species